UUCGAUGAUGAUAAUAUGUUACAUGUUGCUUGAAGACAGUCCGAUGGGCUGGCACUGUGGGCACAAUGAUUUCUCAAUAGACUACAACGGUAUCUGAGU
rnacentral:ncRNA from 11 species